UACAGAGGUCCCAAGCGUUGUUCGGAUUCACUGGGCGUAAAGGGUGCGUAGGAGGUUGGCAAAGUCGGAUGUGAAAUCUCACCGCUCAACGGUGAAAUGGCGUUCGAUACUGGUUGACUAGAGGAUUGGAGGGGAAAGCGGAAUUCCUGGUGUAGCGGUGAAAUGCGUAGAUAUCAGGAGGAACACCAACGGCGAAGGCAGCUUUCUAGACAAUACCUGACUCUGAGGCACGAAGGCCAGGGGAGCGAACGGG
rnacentral:rRNA from 1 species